AGUGAACGCUGGCGGUAGGCCUAACACAUGCAAGUCGAACGGCAGCACAGUAAGAGCUUGCUCUUACGGGUGGCGGGUGGCGGACGGGUGAGGAAUACAUCGGAAUCUACUUUUUCGUGGGGGAUACGUAGGGAAACUUACGCUAAUACCGCAUACGACCUACGGGUGAAAGCAGGGGAUCUUCGGACCUUGCGCGAUUGAAUGAGCCGAUGUCGGAUUAGCUAGUUGGCGGGGUAAAGGCCCACCAAGGCGACGAUCCGUAGCUGGUCUGAGAGGAUGAUCAGCCACACUGGAACUGAGACACGGUCCAGACUCCUACGGGAGGCAGCAGUGGGGAAUAUUGGACAAUGGGCGCAAGCCUGAUCCAGCCAUACCGCGUGGGUGAAGAAGGCCUUCGGGUUGUAAAGCCCUUUUGUUGGGAAAGAAAAGCAGCAGGUUAAUACCCCGCUGUUCUGACGGUACCCAAAGAAUAAGCACCGGCUAACUUCGUG
rnacentral:rRNA from 1 species